rnacentral:rRNA from 1 species
UACGUAGGGUGCAAGCGUUAAUCGGAAUUACUGGGCGUAAAGCGUGCGCAGGCGGUGAUGUAAGACAGGUGUGAAAUCCCCGGGCUUAACCUGGGAACUGCAUUUGUGACUGCAUCGCUGGAGUGCGGCAGAGGGGGAUGGAAUUCCGCGUGUAGCAGUGAAAUGCGUAGAGAUGUGGAGGAACACCGAUGGCGAAGGCAGCCCCCCUGGGCUAACACUGACGCUCAUGCACGAAAGCGUGGGGAGCAAACAGG